rnacentral:tRNA from 1 species
UUUACUUUGGCAGAAAAUAUGCGUUAAAUUUAGAAUUUAGUUAUAUAGGAUUACUCUAUAAGUAAAG